ACUGCACUUAGAAGCUUUGGAGGUAUGGCUGCUGUGUCACAUGUACAUCAGUAGGUGGCAGAGAGAAGAGAGAUUAUGUUUAUGCUCAGUGUUCUGACCUAUGAACCUCAGAAGAGUAGUAGCCUAACACU